rnacentral:rRNA from 1 species
GAUGAACGCUGGCGGCGUGCCUAAUACAUGCAAGUCGAGCGAACAGACGAGAAGCUUGCUCCUCUGAUGUUAGCGGCGGACGGGUGAGUAACACGUGGAUAACCUACCUAUAAGACUGGGAUAACUUCGGGAAACCGUAGCUAAUACCGGAUAAUAUUUUGAACCGCAUGGUUCAAUAGUGAAAGACGGUCUUGCUGUCACUUAUAGAUGGAUCCGCGCCGCAUUAGCUAGUUGGUAAGGUAACGGCUUACCAAGGCAACGAUGCAUAGCCGACCUGAGAGGGUGAUCGGCCACACUGGAACUGAGACACGGUCCAGACUCCUACGGGAGGCAGCAGUAGGGAAUCUUCCGCAAAGGGCGAAAGCCUGACGGAGCAACGCCGCGUGAGUGAUGAAGGUCUUCGGAUCGUAAAACUCUGUUAUUAGGGAAGAACAAAUGUGUAAGUAACUAUGCACGUCUUGACGGUACCUAAUCAGAAAGCCACGGCUAACUACGUG